GACGAACCGUGCAAACGUUGUUCGGAAUCACUGGGCUUAAAGGGCGCGUAGGCGGGCCGCCACGUCGGCUGCUGAAAUCCCCCGGCCGUCAACCGGGGAAGUGGCACCGAUACGAGCGGCCUCGGAGGGGGGGUAGGGGGGUCUGGAACUUCCGGUGGAGCGGUGAAUGACGUUGAGAUCGGAAGGGAACGCCCGUGGCGAAAGCGAGGCCCUGGACCCUUGACUGACGCUGAGACGCGAAAGCCAGGGGAGCGAAACGGGA
rnacentral:rRNA from 1 species